rnacentral:misc_RNA from 1 species
CUACGGACGACGCCGCCGCGUCUCGCCGCCGAACUCCGAUGCGCGUCCUUCCCUCGCGGAAGGCCGUUUUCGGUGUCUCGCGCGCGCGGGUCGCGGUGUACGCGCGGACGUGUGCCUGGGCGCUUCGCGCGACUGCGGGCGUUUCGUUUCGUUCGCGAAACGAACGCCCCAAAGCGCGUCGCCUCAAGUCUUGAAAGAGAUUCGGAACGCUCUGAGUUCCUCUCGAAACGCCGAUCAUCUGACGGUGUCUCUCUUGGCUCGGUAACCUGUGGUGCAGCGAAACGGCGAAGGAGUUUUGGACGCUCCGGCCUCGACCGCCUUUGUUGGGGGCGGCGACGCUCGCGACCAAAAAGUUCUCUUCAAAACCGUGAAGCGGAAACAUGGCAUUCCCGCGAGAAAUGCGAUUUCUCGACGCGCGGACCGGCCGAGCGUGAGCGCUUGAUUCGGACGUUGUGUCGCACAUGUAACGGAGAGUGACGGUCUGGCACUUCUUUCCCCUAAACCUUUUGAACGCUAGGGGCUAAGGAGCGGCUUUUCUCGUUCGCUCUCUUGUGUGCGGCGACGUUACCGGAGAUGCUCGCGGCUCGAUCGCCGUAGAUCCGAUUGAAACGCGCGAGGUCGCAGCGGGAUUUGCCGUUCGUUUUCGCUCUCACUUUGAACGCGAAGAAGGACUUUUGCGAUCGCCCGAAGUAGCAUAACAAGCACGCCUUUUUUUUGAAAAACCCGAGUUAAAACGCGCGAGAGAGCCCGACGGAUGGCGGCAAACCGCAGAGGAGCGUUGAACGCUGCGGGCGUUCCGAAC